rnacentral:rRNA from 1 species
CCUACGUGCGGCAGCAGUGAGGAAUAUUGGUCAAUGGGCGCGAGCCUGAACCAGCCAAGUAGCGUGAAGGAUGACUGCCCUACGGGUUGUAAACUUCUUUUAUCAAGGAAUUAAGUGAGGCACGUUUGCCUUUUUGUCUGUACUUUAUGAAUAAGGAUCGGCUAACUCCGUGCCAGCAGCCGCGGUAAUACGGAGGAGCCGAGCGUUAUCCGGAUUUAUUGGGUUUAAAGGGAGCGUAGAUGGGUUGUUAUGUCAGUUGUGAAAGUUUGCGGCUCACCCGUAAAAUUGCAAUUGAUACUGGCAGCCUUGAGUACAGUGGAGGUAGGCGGAAUUCGUGGUGUAGCGGUGAAAUGCUUAGAUAUCACGAAGAACUCCGAUUGCGAAGGCAGCCUACUAAACUGCCACUGACAUUGAUGCUCGAAAGUGUGGGUAUCAAACAGGAUUAGAUACCCGAGUAGUC